ACCUGUUAGCGCCCGAUGUGCUCACUGGUGCCCCGCACUCAAGACCAGGUGUCGCCAUCAGGAUCCAUAACUAGACUUGGCAUUCAUGUCGUGUUUUUCUUGUUCGUGUCAUUUUCGUGUCAUACCCAAUAUCUUAACGGGUCGUGUCGUGUAACACCCAUUAAAAUAAACAAGUAAAAUGACCCGACCCGAAAUCGACCCGAUAAUAUUAACAGGUAAUAUGACCCGAUCCGUUACCUGUUAAGGAAAAUAUAUUUUAAACCAAUAAAUAAUCAAAUGAAAAACAUAAUACUAAAUAAGUAUAUACAUAUCAUAUUGUCACAUCCAAAACUUAAAACACAUUUUUCUUUUAAUUAUAUUUUUCACUUACCUAAAGUCUUUAAUAGUUUUUUAAUUAAUGUAGAAGUGUAAAAAAAUAUAGAAAAAAUAUAUAAACGCUCGUAAUGACAAGCUUUACAACUUUCAUGAAGAGCUUAACUUCGAAAUUCGCCACUAUAAUCAUAUAAAUCAUAGAUCAAAAUUUAAUCGUUGAUUGUUGUUUACAUUUACGCUUCAUUCUUCUCAUCAAAUUUUUUUUUUUUCAGAAUUUUUUUUUGUUGAAAACUUGAUCUAUUAGAGGAUGCAGGAUGAUGAACGGUUUGGAUCGUUGAUAUUAUAUUCAGAGUUUUACAAUUAGUGAAAAUAUUGGUUGAUGUUUAUAAAGUUUCUACAAACUAUAUGACAUCGACUCAUAUUUCAGUUAACCGUAAAUAUCAAAACAUGAUAUCAAAGAUCUGAACCGUUCAUCUUCUUACAUCCGCCAUAUGAUCAUAUUUUCAAAAAAGAAAACUUUAAAAAUGAAAUUCAGUAAGAAAAAUAAAGUGUAAAUGGCAAUCGACGGCUAAAUAUAAAUUUAAGGUUUAUGAAUUAUAGUGUUGGAUUUUGAAGCUGACCCCUUCAUGAAAGUUGUAAAGUUUGUCACUAUGAGUGAUUGUACAUUUUUUUUACAUUUUUUUUUACACUUCUACAAUAAUUAUUAUUAAUUUUAUUAAUUUUCCCUCAAAUAAAAAACAUUAUUCAUGAAGGUUUGAAGAUUUUAAAAAUCUAAACGAUAAUGUAAGUGUAACCAUUAUUUACUCGUGGAAGAAUAAUGAUGAAUCAUGAGUGUUUAUAUAUUCUUUCACAUUUUUCAUACUUGUAUGUAUGUCUUCUUAAUUCUUGUCUAUACAAAUACUAUAUUAGUUUAUUUUAAUUUUGGACAACAACAUAUUAAGUAAGAUUUAUCCUAGUAAUGAUAAUAAGGAACUGUCAUAAUAAAGAUAAAUAAUGACUAAAACAUUUUUUUUAAACUUAUACAUAAUAAUAAUACAAAACUAUAUAUUUAAUAUAGAAUAUAUUGUAUAUAUUAAUAUGGCUAUUGUAUUUUAUAAUAAUUUUUUUCUCAACGGGUCGAAACGAGUUACCCACGUGUUACACGUGUGUAUACCUGUUAAGAACCCGUUAUUAACGAGUUCUUAAUGGGUCACCCGAUAAUGACCCGAUAAGUUAUUGUGUUGACCCAAAACC
rnacentral:lncRNA from 1 species